rnacentral:rRNA from 1 species
GACGAACGCUGGCGGCGUGCUUAACACAUGCAAGUCGAACGGAAAGGCCCUGCUUUUGUGGGGUGCUCGAGUGGCGAACGGGUGAGUAACACGUGAGUAACCUGCCCUUGACUUUGGGAUAACUUCAGGAAACUGGGGCUAAUACCGGAUAGGAGCUCCUGCUGCAUGGUGGGGGUUGGAAAGUUUCGGCGGUUGGGGAUGGACUCGCGGCUUAUCAGCUUGUUGGUGGGGUAGUGGCUUACCAAGGCUUUGACGGGUAGCCGGCCUGAGAGGGUGACCGGCCACAUUGGGACUGAGAUACGGCCCAGACUCCUACGGGAGGCAGCAGUGGGGAAUAUUGCACGAUGGGCGGAAGCCUGAUGCAGCAACGCCGCGUGCGGGAUGACGGCCUUCGGGUUGUAAACCGCUUUCGCCUGUGACGAAGCGUGAGUGACGGUAAUGGGUAAAGAAGCACCGGCUAACUACGUGCCAGCAGCCGCGGUGAUACGUAGGGUGCGAGCGUUGUCCGGAUUUAUUGGGCCUAAAGGGCUCGUAGGUGGUUGAUCGCGUCGGAAGUGUAAUCUUGGGGCUUAACCCUGAGCGUGCUUUCGAUACGGGUUGACUUGAGGAAGGUAGGGGAGAAUGGAAUUCCUGGCGGAGCGGUGGAAUGCGCAGAUAUCAGGAGGAACACCAGUGGCGAAGGCGGUUCUCUGGGCCUUUCCUGACGCUGAGGAGCGAAAGCGUGGGGAGCGAACAGGCUUAGGUACCCUGGUAGUCCACGCUGUAAACGGUGGGUACUAGGUGUGGGGUCCAUUCCACGGGUUCCGUGCCGUAGCUAACGCUUUAAGUACCCCGCCUGGGGAGUACGGCCGCAAGGCUAAAACUCAGAGGAAUUGACGGGGCCCCGCACAAGCGGCGGAGCAUGCGGAUUAAUUCGAUGCAACGCGUAGAACCUUACCUGGGUUUGACAUGGAUCGGGAGUGCUCAGAGAUGGGUGUGCCUCUUUUGGGGUCGGUUCACAGGUGGUGCAUGGCUGUCGUCAGCUCGUGUCGUGAGAUGUUGGGUUAAGUCCCGCAACGAGCGCAACCCUUGUUCACUGUUGCCAGCACGUUAUGGUGGGGACUCAGUGGAGACCGCCGGGGUCAACUCGGAGGAAGGUGGGGAUGACGUCAAGUCAUCAUGCCCCUUAUGUCCAGGGCUUCACGCAUGCUACAAUGGCUGGUACAGAGAGUGGCGAGCCUGUGAGGGUGAGCGAAUCUCGGAAAGCCGGUCUCAGUUCGGAUUGGGGUCUGCAACUCGACCUCAUGAAGUCGGAGUCGCUAGUAAUCGCAGAUCAGCAACGCUGCGGUGAAUACGUUCCCGGG